rnacentral:rRNA from 1 species
GCUUAUGGCCAUACCAGCCUGGCUAUGCCCGAUCUCGUCUGAUCUUGGAAGUUAAGCAGGUUUUGGGCCUGGUUAGUUACUUGGAUGGGAGACUGCCUGGGAAAUACCAGGUACUGUAAAGC